AAUAAAAUCAAAUAAAAAAAAAAAAAAUGCUUUCUGUUUCGCUCAAUUUCUGCUCUCACAUCUUCUUCCUUUUCCUCUAUUUGGUAAUCUCACAUAUAUCCAUCAUCAUGAACAAUAUCAACUAAUGUUCCAGUGAAUGGGAAUAUCUUUAAUCCCGUUUGAUUAGGGUUUCGUUGUCAUCAUCAUCUCUAUUUUGAUUGAUGUUAUUAAGGUUCACUUUUUUAUUAGGGCUUUGUGAUCUGUAUAUCCAUAUCAAACAUACCGAUAUCUGUACAACCCUAUUCUCUGAUUUCAGAACCGUAAUCUGAUUAACUAACUCUUUCGUUUUAUUUGUUACAGAGAUUAACGUUGAUUCACGGUUGAGUUUUUGUAGAAAGAAGAAAUCCCAUCGAGACCAAAGUAAUAUGAACCAAGUUUUGUGUUUAGGGUUUCAAUUAAAUCUUUGUCUACUGUUGAUUCUUCGUCUCUUUUAUUAACGAUAACAAUAUGCUUUCCUAAGAGCAAAACCCUGCAUUCCUAACGCUAUUCUCAUCCAUCAAUUUCUUUGAUUUGUGUUUGGGGUAUUUAUUUUUCUCCUUCCGGAAUCUUCACAACCCUAAUCAAAAUCGCGCCUAUUUUUAAAUUCUUCUUUUACUUAUUGUCUUACAAACGAUCUUUUGUUGUAGGUUAUGAUCUUUUAUCAUUUCUUUAUUCUGUUCAUUUUACUGCCUUAAAGUUUUGCUAAUUAUAUUUCUUUUCUUCGAUUUUGUAGUUCUUUUUUCAUGGCCUGAUGAAGACGGUUGGUGCAAUUAAAAGGAUACUUUUUCGUAUUGAGUGUAGAAUGAAACCAUUUCAUUUGUGUAUUCUUUGAUUCAUGUUCUUAUCAGUAGAAGACACAUUUUUGGCUGGUGACAUUUAUCAUGGUUACUACUGCUAAUCCUAGCUUCUUAAUUGUUCACGGACGUAAGUAGUUGUCGGGAGAGUGAUAAGUAAUAUAUGGGUAUUUGAAAAAUGAAAAAUGACUCAGAAAAUUAGACUGAACGGAGUGGUAUUGAUGGACUCAUUGGGUUCCCUGGAUUUAGACUUGGCAGCAAUCAAAAGAGCUUUGAUGAUAUCUUCAUUGAAAUUCUUGGUUCCGGUCUUUCGCAGUGUACGGGUUCACUAAGUGGUGCUUACAACUCCACGAACCAGAAGUGUUAUACCGGAGAUCUAUGUUUGGUAAAACCCCUGUGCUUUACGUGUUUUUGUGCAAGAACAUGCUGAGAUAGGAGUGGCCAGCUUUGAACACUUGAUUCUAUUAUUAAUUUCGGAUGUACCUCAAUGUUUCUUCAGACUCCAACAAGCCUAAGCAAAACACCAUUGGAAACCCUUAAACCUGUCUCCUCCCUCUCUUUCAGAAAUAGGACAACAAAGAUUGGGUCUCAAUUAAAACUUUCCAAUCUCUUCUGUAAGUCUAAUAAUUCAACACUUAGGGUUUCAAAAUUCACCCCCCUGCCCGUGAAGAGGUUACGGAAAUCACUGAGGUAGAAGAAGAAGAAGCUGAGACACAGGAAGAUGAGGAGGAUGAUGCUCCCUUGGAAGAGUUAAUUGAUGAUGCUGAAGAAAAAUCAACCUCAGUCAUCAUGGCAUCACUGCAGUCAUAUAAAGAAGCUCUGGCGAACAAUGAUGAGUCUACUGUUUCUGAAAUAGAAGCUUUCCUCCAAUCCAUUGAAGUAGAGAAAGUAUCUCUUGCAAAUGAAGUGAAAACCUUGACUGAAGAACUUGCUUCUAUGAAGGACCGGACUCUUAGAAUUGGUGCAGAUUUUGAUAAUUUCAGGAAGAGAACAGAGAGAGAACGACUAUCACUUGUGACAAAUGUACAAGGGGAGGUGGUCGAGAGUUUUUUUGUCUGUCAUGGAUAAUUUUGAGAGAGCUAAAUCUCAAAUUAAGGCAGAGACUGAAGGAGAGGAGAAGAUCAACAAUAGCUACCAGAGCAUUUAUAAGCAGUUCCUCGAGGUUCUGGGAUCCCUUGGUGUUGUAUCCGUGGAGACAGUUGGGCAUCCAUUUGAUCCGUUGGUCUUGAUCUGGGCAUUCAAGGAUUACUUUAAGGACUGAGGUGUUUAAAUAGUUCACUGGUAACUUCGCAUAUGACGGUGAUGCUGGUGUAUUUGUACUUCUUUUUUACUCACCUAGCCCACUUUAUAUAUUUAUCAUGUGCAGCUGCCUUUGUCUUCAAUGUAACUUUAGACCUUACAGUAUGGUAGCUCUAUUAAUUUGCUUGAAAUGCAUUUACUGUCUUGAAAUGAAUAUGAUAUAAUUAACAUAUAACCAGUGGAGAUGUAGAAAAUAUAAGUAGUUAUGAAGCUCUUCGGCAUACAGGGAAUUGGCAUUUGUUGUAAAUUUAAACAACUUUUUUUUUUGUUAUGAAUGUAGUCAUCUUCAAAUAGUAUGAAAAAUUAGUUUAUUGGUAUAAUAGAGUAGAUGACAUUUAUGGAAAGCUACAAGUGCUUGACUAAGAAACAGUGACUAGGGACUGCAUUGUUUCCAAGUUGGUCAUUGUUAUUGUAUGUAUUACAGGUCUUUGCUCCUUUGGUAAAGAUCAUAAGCGCGAUAUGUACUAGAAGUUUGUCACACCUGCUACUAGAAAUGAUCUUGAUACUGGUACGAUCGUCUACAGGAACUGAAAGUCCUAGCCAUGGCAGUGAGAAGAAUACGGUCGCGGGUAUCGGAGUUGGAUUUUAGUUCUACGGCUUUAAUGAUAAAGUUUACCACGUCGUCUUUGUAUCCUACACUCAUCCACUGAACAUCCUUAUGUGAGUAUCUAAGAAUUUGAGAAGUUUGUUUUUUUGGAUAUGAGAUGCGAAUGUAACAAGAUGCAGUGAGAACAAUAAUGGAGUAGCUGUAGUACUUGAGAAUUGUAUAAGAUCGUAAUUGCUGUUAUGGAUACAGAAUAUGUUGAAAUUAAGUUCUUUUGGUAGAUGCUAUAA